rnacentral:rRNA from 1 species
AACGAACGCUGGCGGCAUGCCUAACACAUGCAAGUCGAACGAACCCUUCGGGGUGAGUGGCGCACGGGUGCGUAACACGUGGGAACCUGCCCUUAGGUUCGGAAUAACACAGAGAAAUUUGUGCUAAUACCGGAUAAUGUCUUCGGACCAAAGAUUUAUCGCCUUUGGAUGGGCCCGCGUAGGAUUAGCUAGUUGGUGAGGUAAAGGCUCACCAAGGCGGCGAUCCUUAGCUGGUCUUAGAGGAUGAUCAGCCACACUGGGACUGAGACACGGCCCAGACUCCUACGGGAGGCAGCAGUGGGGAAUCUUAGACAAUGGGCGCAAGCCUGAUCUAGCCAUGCCGCGUGAGCGAUGAAGGCCUUAGGGUUGUAAAGCUCUUUCAGCGAGGAAGAUAAUGACUGUACUCGCAGAAGAAGCCCCGGCUAACUCCGUGCCAGCCGCCGCGGUAA